ensembl:lncRNA
ACAACCUCCAGCUGUUUCCAGCCAGAGUCCUUGUUCAAUCCUCUGAAGCAGCCAAGUGGACUCAGCCCAGCCAGAGUCCAGACUGCCCGCUGAAGGCUGUGAGAAAAUGUGAGGUCAGAGGUCAUCCUGCAGACUCCGUGGAUGGGGACAAACUGGACCAGAGCCUAGGCUUGGAACCAAACGGAACUGUAAGUUGCGGUGAGCUGGGGACUAUUCUGCAGUCGCAGCACGCAGGCUUAUCACUGUGGUGGCUUCUCUCAUUGCGGACCACGGGCUCCAGUUUCCAGGUUGUCUUUGGCCAGUCUUUCUGACCCAGAGUCCUGCCUGGUGGUGCACGCUUUGCUCAGCCAAGAUGGAUGCCAGCGAGAGGAUUCUGGAAGACUGUCAGACACGUGGUGUCUCCUUUUGACCUUUCCCGAACUCUUCUGGUUGGUGGUGGCAUGUUAGUUCCAUGUUCCUUACUGGGGCCUCCUGUCAUAAAAUAACUCACGCAGAUGGUUACUGUGGUGCCUGGCCAGGGUGGGUGGCUUCCUCCCCUAACACAGGGAGCACUGUCUCCUGCCCGAGUGAGUGCGCCCGCCCCAGACUCCUCCACCACCCAUGCUGCCAAGCCCAUGGGCCUCUGGCAGAGGAGAUGUGGCCUCCACAGGCUCCCCCAGGCCCUGGGUUGGGGUCUCCCAGGGUACAGGGAGCUGCCAGAGCCGUUGAGGUUCUUGCCAUGAGCUGAGACCACCAGCUGCCUAGUGUCCCUUCUCUAUGCCAUCUGAGAGGGCAAGGGCAUCUACACCAGACUAAGCAAAUGGGGCUCAGAGGAGACGCAGUUGCAUGGUGAGCCGGCCACCCGUUUUCCAGGGCCAGGUCUUGGCUGGGACAGGCUGGGCAGCUGGAGGGGACGGGGUGGCUGUGCCACCCAGAUCAAAUCCAGGCCCAGAUCAAAGCGACAGCAUCUCCCUCACUGCGUACGGCUGCUCCCACUGCAGGGAGCAGUCCUGCCAUUUCCCUCCAGCAUUAAAGGUG